rnacentral:rRNA from 1 species
GACGAACGCUGGCGGCAGGCCUAACACAUGCAAGUCGAACGGACCCUUCGGGGUUAGUGGCGGACGGGUGAGUAACACGUGGGAACGUGCCUUUAGGUUCGGAAUAGCUCCUGGAAACGGGUGGUAAUGCCGAAUGUGCCCUUCGGGGGAAAGAUUUAUCGCCUUUAGAGCGGCCCGCGUCUGAUUAGCUAGUUGGUGAGGUAACGGCUCACCAAGGCGACGAUCAGUAGCUGGUCUGAGAGGAUGACCAGCCACACUGGGACUGAGACACGGCCCAGACUCCUACGGGAGGCAGCAGUGGGGAAUCUUGCGCAAUGGGCGAAAGCCUGACGCAGCCAUGCCGCGUGAAUGAUGAAGGUCUUAGGAUUGUAAAAUUCUUUCACCGGGGACGAUAAUGACGGUACCCGGAGAAGAAGCCCCGGCUAACUUCGUG